CGGAGGCAGCAGUGGGGAAUUUUGCGCAAUGGGCGAAAGCCUGACGCAGCAACGCCGCGUGGAGGAUGAAGGCCUUCGGGUCGUAAACUCCUGUCAGUAGGGACGAAUGCCCCGCGAGGGGUUUGACUGUACCUGCUGAGGAAGCCACGGCUAACUUCGUGCCAGCAGCCGCGGUAAUACGAGGGUGGCAAGCGUUGUUCGGAAUUACUGGGCGUAAAGGGCGCGUAGGCGGCUUGGCAAGUCAGAUGUGAAAUCCCCGAGCUUAACUUGGGAAUUGCAUCUGAAACUGCUUAGCUUGAGUCCUGGAUGGGGUAGUGGAAUUCCCAGUGUAGCAGUGAAAUGCGUAGAUAUUGGGAGGAACACCGGUGGCGAAGGCGGCUACCUGGACAGUGACUGACGCUGAGGCGCGAAAGCUAGGGGAGCGAACGGGAUUAGAUACCCCGGUAGC
rnacentral:rRNA from 1 species